ACCCUUUAAUGUUUGAUGUUCUAACGUGGACCCGUAAUCCGGGUUGCGGACAGUGUCUGGUGGGUAGUUUGACUGGGGCGGUCUCCUCCUAAAGAGUAACGGAGGAGCACGAAGGUUGGCUAAUCCUGGUCGGACAUCAGGAGGUUAGUGCAAUGGCAUAAGCCAGCUUGACUGCGAGCGUGACGGCGCGAGCAGGUGCGAAAGCAGGUCAUAGUGAUCCGGUGGUUCUGAAUGGAAGGGCCAUCGCUCAACGGAUAAAAGGUACUCCGGGGAUAACAGGCUGAUACCGCCCAAGAGUUCAUAUCGACGGCGGUGUUUGGCACCUCGAUGUCGGCUCAUCACAUCCUGGGGCUGAAGUAGGUCCCAAGGGUAUGGCUGUUCGCCAUUUAAAGUGGUACGCGAGCUGGGUUUAGAACGUCGUGAGACAGUUCGGUCCCUAUCUGCCGUGGGCGCUGGAGAACUGAGGGGGGCUGCUCCUAGUACGAGAGGACCGGAGUGGACGCAUCACUGGUGUUCGGGUUGUCAUGCCAAUGGCACUGCCCGGUAGCUAAAUGCGGAAGAGAUAAGUGCUGAAAGCAUCUAAGCAC
rnacentral:rRNA from 1 species